rnacentral:rRNA from 1 species
GAUUAACGCUGGCGGCGUGCAUAACACAUUCAAGUCGAACGAACUAAGUGGCUUCGGUCAUUUAGUUAGUGGCGGACGGGUGAGUAACGCGUGAGCAAUCUACCUUCCAGUACGGAAUAACAACCGGAAACAGUUGCUAAUACCGUAUGAAAUGGCAUCCUCGCAUGAGGAAACCAUCAAAGGCUUGCUGCUGGAAGAUGAGCUUGCGUCCGAUUAGAUAGUUGGCGGGGUAAAGGCCCACCAAGUCGACGAUCGGUAGCCGGACUGAGAGGUUGAACGGCCACAUUGGAACUGAGAUACGGUCCAG